UGGACCAAGAGAAGACUGGUAUUGCCCAGAU
rnacentral:piRNA from 1 species